UGGGGGCAGAGAAAGCAGCUGCACAGUUGGGGGUGGAGGAGCUGCAGAAGAAGUUAGAGAUAUCAGAGCUGCUGCUGCAACAGUUCUCUAGCCAAUCUGAGGCCUCUGGUGGUAAUGAGCAGUUACAACAGGCCAUGGAGGAGCGGGCUCAGCUGGAGACCCAUGUCGGCCAGCUGAUGGAGUCACUGAAGCAGCUCCAGGUGGAGAGAGACCAGUAUGCAGAGAACCUGGAAGGAGAGAGUG